CAGCAGCCGCGGGAAUACGUAGGCGGCAAGCGUUGCCCGGAAUUAUUGGGCGUAAAGGGCUCGCAGGCGGUUUCUUAAGUCUGAUGUGAAAGCCCCCGGCUCAACCGGGGAGGGUCAUUGGAAACUGGGAAACUUGAGUGCGGAAGAGGAGAGUGGAAUUCCACGUGUAGCGGUGAAAUGCGUAGAGAUGUGGAGGAACACCAGUGGCGAAGGCGACUCUCUGGUCUGUAACUGACGCUGAGGAGCGAAAGCGUGGGGAGCGAACAGGAUUAGAUACCCGUGUAGUCCCUGUCUCUUAUAU
rnacentral:rRNA from 1 species